UACGUAGGGGGCAAGCGUUGUCCGGAAUCAUUGGGCGUAAAGAGCGUGUAGGUGGCUCGGUAAGUCCGCUGUGAAAGUCCAGGGCUCAACCCUGGAAAGCCGGUGGAAACUGUCGAGCUCGAGUCCGGAAGAGGCGAGUGGAAUUCCUGGUGUAGCGGUGAAAUGCGCAGAUAUCAGGAGGAACACCGGUGGCGAAGGCGGUUCUCUGGGCCUGUACUGACGCUGAGGAGCGAAAGCGUGGGGAGCGAACAGG
rnacentral:rRNA from 1 species